rnacentral:misc_RNA from 1 species
UAGUGAUGGGACUGGGAAGCU